rnacentral:rRNA from 1 species
AGCCUCUAGAUAGAAAAUAGGUGCCCGUACCGCAAACCGACACAGGUAGUCAAGAUGAGAAUUCUAAGGGGAGCGAGCGAACUCUCGUUAAGGAACUCGGCAAAAUGACCCCGUAACUUCGGGAGAAGGGGUGCUCUUUAGGGUUAACGCCCAGAAGAGCCGCAGUGAAUAGGCCCAAGCGACUGUUUAUCAAAAACACAGGUCUCUGCUAAACCGUAAGGUGAUGUAUAGGGGCUGACGCCUGCCCGGUGCUGGAAGGUUAAGAGGAGUGGUUAGCUUCUGCGAAGCUACGAAUCGAAGCCCCAGUAAACGGCGGCCGUAACUAUAACGGUCCUAAGGUAGCGAAAUUCCUUGUCGGGUAAGUUCCGACCCGCACGAAAGGCGUAACGAUUUGGGCACUGUCUCAACGAGAGACUCGGUGAAAUCAUAGUACCUGUGAAGAUGCAGGUUACCCGCGACAGGACGGAAAGACCCCGUGGAGCUUUACUGUAGCCUGAUAUUGAAAUUCGGCACAGCUUGUACAGGAUAGGUAGGAGCCUUUGAAACGUGAGCGCUAGCUUACGUGGAGGCGCUGGUGGGAUACUACCCUAGCUGUG